rnacentral:piRNA from 1 species
UGUAACAUUUCACCGCAUACA